rnacentral:lncRNA from 1 species
CCGAUUCUUUUUUGUAAAUGUCUUAAAUAAUGAUACGGACCUGCUCGUUCAAUCGGAGCUCAAUUUCAUGCUCGUUUGCCCAGUCAAAUAUCAUUUCUACUCGGUAAACAAUUAUUUCUUAUUUGCGAUAAAAAUCCAAUCUCGGGUUAGCGAAAAUGCACCAAAAUUUGCAGAUAAGUCCUAUAAUUCAUGCUCAAAAUUUCAGAACCUUCGGAAUAAUUUU